rnacentral:lncRNA from 1 species
CUUCGGUGCGCGUGCUGGAGAGCGGCAGGAGCUCGGCCUUCUUAGGGUGUUUGGGACCCCAUCCAGCGUGGUUUUGCUUUAGUUCCCCGCCCAGGGAGAGGAGCUCGGCAAGCAGCACCGGGUUUAUUCUUGCUCAUUUAUUCAAAAGAAAGGUACUGAGUUUGAAAAUGCACCAAGCACUGGAGAGAAGAGAAAGGUGAAAGGACCUCGGGGCCUGCCUGUAAGAGGCUCAGGAUGUGAUGUGGCUGGGGAUGAGGCCCGGUGGCACCUUCAACGCAGGAGAGGAGGGGGUCUGGAUCCCACCGUCAGAGCACGCACGCAACCUGUCCACUCCCUCAGGACUGCAGAAAAGGUCCAUUCUUGUAUUUCUUUUUAAGUUGAAUUAAAUCCAUCUCUAGCCCCUGCCUCUGAACUGAUGGAGUCUGGCUGUCAUUGGGCCUCCCUCACCCGCAAGGGGUGGAACCAGAGCUUGGGGCUGAGGCGCUCCUGGAGUGUUUAGCGCCUCUGCUGUCAGGACAUCCUGUGGCCACUGGCACGCUGUCUGCCCACACAGUGCCCCCGACCAGCAGCGGAGCCACCCACUCUCCACAGCCAGGGUUGGGAGCCCUGGGGCCCGAGUCCCCGGUCCCACGUGCCACACAAGGCAGGACAUUCUGGGUGCUGUCGCAUCCCCGGAAUCAGGGCCUGGACCCUGGUCAGAGCAGGACCUGCAGGUGACCCCGGGUGGGGCAGACUGUCUUCUGUCCUUGGUGGCAAAGCCGGUGUUCUCGGCGUCAUGUCUGCACACGUGUGCCUGAAGCCACGGGAACGCAGGGGCUACCUCUGGGCCUGGGCCUGGACCUGUGGAGCAGGAUCGGGGAGGACACACAGGUGGGCGUCUCAAGAACUGUGGUGUACACAGCUGAGCCCCUGCAGCUCUGCUUUGCCGGGCCUCACCCUCGGUGCUGGGUGCAAGACGUGACAAGAUGGCAUGGGAAGCUUCCCGGGGAACGCUGGAACUGGGUGUUUGAAGGAGGACCUCAUGGCGGCAGCUCCAGCCCAAGUACUGCAACUGUGGGGCCGUGCCAGGAGCAGGUGCUGCGGAGCCUGUGUGGGUCCAGGACAAGAGGAGCACCAGAAGCUCCUGGAGGGCGGUGCAGACGACACUGUCGGGCCGGCCCAGCCCAGGCCCCAGCAGUUGACUCCUCUGUGAUCAGAGGAUGUGGCUGAGGAUGUGCAUUUCCGUCAAGUUCCCAGGAGAACCUGGUGCUGCUGCUUCGGGGACCCCACUUUGAGGACCACUGAUCUAACACUGCCCCUCGUGGCAAACGCGGAAUGACUCAAGAUUCAGCUGGAUGGAUCAUUCAGGGAGCAAAUCCACCCUUGCCGCCUGGCACACCCUGGCCAUUCGGUAACGAUGCCAUCAGGGUUACUGGCUUCUUCAUUCUCCACUGUGCAUUCCAGGGUGGGCAUUUCCACAGUUGUGAGCCCAUCAUCAACUCAGCGAGUUCCCAUUUUCCAGUUAGAAAAUAAGCUUUCUGAUCGUUAGCCAUUCACUUCAAUUGGCUCUAGAAAAGAUUUCUGGGAUGUAUAAUUUAUUUUUAACAUAAAGAAAAGCUAAGUGUAAACUAGAUAAGCUACAAUUGUCCCAGACGUUAUAGACACUCACAGCACCGUUUUCCUCUUCUAGCAAAACAAAACAAAAAAUUCUGCAAUCAUACAGGCAGUAGGAAAAAAAAAUUAGCUGGACACCAUGGCUCACACCUGUAACCCCAGCACUUUGGGAGGCCGAGGUGGGAGGAUCACUUGAGGCCAGGAGUUAGGGACUGGCCUGGGCAACAUAGUGAGAUCCCAUCUUUAUAAAAAUAAAAAAAAUCUGGGCGUGGUGGAGCACACUUGUGGUCCUAGCUACUCAGGAGGCUGAGAGUGGGGAAUCGUUUGAUCCCAGGAGGUUGAGGCUGGAGUGAACCAUGUUUGCACCACUGCACUUCAGCCUGGAUGGAUGACAGAGUAAGAUCCUGUCUCAAAAAAAAAAAAAAAAAAAAAAACAAAAAAACCAGGAAGAAAUAAUCCAGGCAAGAAACGAGGCAAUGAUACUGUCACCUGGCCUGGCCUCAUGCCAGCAGCAUGGGGGUGGGGCUUGGGAGGGAGGGUGGAUUUAGGCUUACCAGCUUACUAGGGAACUUUGAUCUCUGUUUCUGAUUUGCCGGGCUCAUGUCUAGCUGGAGCCUGGGCACUGCUGUCUGCUUUCCCGCACAACUGGCCGGGGACAGCUCUGAGCCCCGAGCCUGUAAAGGACGGGCUCCAUAAUCCUCUGGCAAAUCCUGUAAGAUGCCUGCAGUAAGGUGCCAGGUUGGAGCAGAGGAAGAGCCUUACACUUCAUCCCUGAAGUCACAUUUGAAGGAAGACCCUCAAGGUGGAGGGCUUCUAAUUACAUCUUCAUCUUUCUGGGCUUAACAAUAGUUUCAGUUCUCUUUUUGAAGAGAAAGAUCUUGAAACCUCCUUGGUGUCCAACAGUCCUUUUGGCUGUCUCACCUCUUUUUUCUUUUCUUUUAAUGCAUAAUUAAUCUAGAUGUCAGCAAAUGGGCUGAGACUGUCUGGUAGAUGCAGUGUUUGUAUGUUUCUACUCUAUUACAAAAAUUAACAGAAAUAUGGCUUCGCUUUGUGCAAAUGUUUAUAUCACAGUCUGUAAAAUGAAUUAUAUUUAAAACUAUCCACAAAGCUAGAUAUUUAGAGAACCCUUGGCAGAGUUCUUUCGUAAAGUGAAGACAUUUUCAGGUACUUUAAGUUCUUCAAAAGCAGGAAUAACUGUGUAAACGUAAGGGCAAAAGGCCUUUCAGGCAUGAGAGAACACAUGAAAACACGUGUCUGGCUUCAAAACCACCCCCAGCCCCUGCCUGCCUGCGUUUUACGCGCUCUUCCUGUGCUUCAUUAUGCGUCGUGCUUCCUGUUCCACUCAGCUCACUCUCCACGUGGACGUAUAAACUAUGGGAGAAACAGUGAUGGCCUCUCCUCCACCGCCAGGCUGGCAGGGGUCGUUUGGCUGGCAUCAGGCUGGAGGAGACUCGGAUGGGUAAGACCAACGCACUUAGUUUUGGGUGUGUGGGGAGGGCAAGAGGAGCAUGAGCGGCGAUCUGUGGGGGGUGUCUUCCCUGUUGUAAAUCUCCCUGUACGUGCAGGUGCACGGCGAGAGGGUCUCCACACCUCCCAGCUUUUCUCUGAGGAUGUCCAGAAGGAACGAGCAAAGCAGGAUUGGCCUCCAGAACAGAGGCCCCGAGGCUGACUCCAGAUUUCCUGUCUACGAGCUGUGUCCUCCCAGCACGCCUGCCCCUUGCAUUCAUGAACAGUGACCCAGCUGCAGGGACUGCGUGGCUGAACGCCGACCAACUGCGGGGAAGUCCUGGGCUGGGCCGUGGCUUGGGACCAAGAAGACACGCAGCAGACACCAGUGAAGCAGGAGUUUUAUUGAGUUCCUCCAUGUCACAUUAAUACAUUAGCUUCAAGACACAGUUUCAAAGACCCGGGUCCUUCUGACGUAGUGUGUUGGAGGCAGCUAGGCCAGCUUGAGGCACUGUGUGUUGAAGCUGUCCCCCUCCUUGCCGGCGACAGCCUCCAGCAGGGCCUGUUUCUUCUGCAUGCUCCGUGAGGACUCCAGCUCGUACAUGGUGGUCAGGUUGAAGAGCACGCUCUCGUGCAGGUAGUGCCUGGGGUCCUGCUGGACCAUGGCCUCCAGCUGCCGCAGGGAGUCCUUGAGCUUGCCCAGGUAGAGCAGACACACGGCAGCGUUGUUGUUGGCCUAGGGAGGAGCACACGCCCAGGGUUGGCCCACACAACCAGGACAGACGCCCGCCCAUUCCAGGCUGCGUGCUGGGCCGUGUUAGGGGCCUGGGGGUGGUGCAGAGCUGCUGGGCAGAGCCUAGGUGGCCCUGUUGGGUCACUUCCCCUAAGGGCCACAGCCACUGCCUGGAGCUGGUGGACUGGAGAGAGAGAGCGCAGGCCCCUGCUGAGACGUGUGUGGGUGUAUGUUUCUAGCGUCUGUGAAAGGCAGAGGAUGGAGGAUCCUGCAGCUUGGGGAUCUUACCACUGCGUUUCUUGGAUCCAUCCUUAAGAUCUCUGUGAAGAACCUGUGGGCUUCUGCAAAGUUAUUCUGCCCGAGGUGAAGGAACGCGCUGUAACACAAGCAACGGUGGCAGUUAGCGGGGAAAGCCCAGGAGCUGCUGUCCCCCAACACAACCCACAGGGGCUUUGGAUCCCACAGAGACCCAGCGUAUGGCCCUGUGUGGCCCGGGGUUCCUGAUCUCCAGGUAGAGGCGGUGAGCUGCGUUUUGCAUUCAGGCUCGCACAUUAAAGCCACUCUAGUUUUUAUUUAUUUUUAUUUUUUAGAUGGAGUUUUGCUCUCGUUGCCCAGGCUGUAGUGCAGUG